UCUUAUAUUCUAAAAUGUGAAUUGUCUUCACAGAGAAAAAUGGCAUUUGUGAUUUUCACUUAGCCAUAGAUUUUCUCUGUGGUGAGAGAAAAAUACACUUUUAUGAUGGGAGUGAAAGCAAGAUUAUUACUGUAAACAUAUAUAGUCCCAUACCAAAAAGAAAAUUAAGCUGUCAUAACCUUGUAAAUUUUCAUUGUUUGUUUACUUUUAGUUGUUUUUGUUGUUGCUGCUGUUGGUUUUGCUUAUUUAUUUAUUUAUCCUUGUUCUAGACAGGACACUGCUGCUUCCAGACCCUCUAAAGCUCUUGUGGGUUGCUAAGAUUCAGCUUCACUUGUGAAAAAUGUGUUUCCAUGGCAGGACAGCUAAAAAACAUGAGCAUUUCUGAGGUGCUGUGAGGUGAUUUUGCCAAGGUCAGUUUCCUUACUUCACCAAGUCCACUUGAGCAUAAAUCAGCCUUGUCUUUACGGUUUGUUUUUCUAUUGCCAUGGAGUGGGCUGUGUGUGUGGUUAAUGCUGAGAGAGGUGGUAUGCAGCAUAAACAAGCCUCUUUGGAUGAAGGGCUUCCAAAAGAAGGGGAACACCUGCCCAAGUGCUGCAGGCACACAUGCACUUCACAUCUCACUGCCUCCAGUACAGAACGCAACCUGCAGUGCAUUUGGACGUACGUUACAUUGGUGUUCCUCCCUUGAGCUUGCACCCUGGCUAUUUUGAUGAUACACCCAAGAAACGGAAGAGGAUGUGCAGGAGAUAUCAGUGGUUAUUUGACUUGCUGCUAAUCUUUGAAUGCAACUGUACCCAGUCACACAGUCAGAGCAGCACAGCCCUCCAGACACUGUGA
rnacentral:lncRNA from 1 species